UCGGCACACGACACCAACGCCCGCCCCGAGCAGCAGCGGCAGCCGCGGUUACAGCGCCGGUCGCGGUGGUGGCGGCAGCUGGGCCUCCGCGGAGCGGGGCUGCUGAGCAUGCGCAUGCGCCUCGCAUUUCAUCGCCCCCCCACCCCGCGUGCCCCCUCCGCGGGAGUGGAGCUGGGGCUUAAAUUACCCUCUGCGAAAAUCCCAGACCGUGGCUAAAUUUCUCCCACCCCAGUCGCCAGGACAGAGUAUGCAGCUGCUUCUUUGGCAGCUGAGAUAGUAAAAAUGUUGACUAACGAGCAGCAGGAAGCCUUUAUUUUAAAUUCGGUCAUUAAAGCGGGGGUUUAGGCUCUCACCCUUUACCGAGGUACACGUUCCUGGCUGCUGGCUACAAUAUUGCUUUACUGAUGGGCUUUGUUUUGGAUUGUUUUGGAUCUGAUUUUUGAAAAAGAGCUUCUAGACAACGGUUAUGUCUGUGGUAAAAGGAUGACAGACUUAGGUACUAGAAAAAGAAAGGAGAUAAGCCGGAGGGAGGCGGUGGGGGGGAUUAUUUCCUAAAUCUGUUACUGUUGGUCAGAUUAAAGCGUGGCCAUGGCAGGUAGCUGCUGGAAUGGAAUCGGCUGCCAGAGGGGAGUCGGUCGAAGGCUGGGUGUCUGCCCGGGCCAGUGACACACCACCCCUGGAUUCAGUCCGCCCGCUAAGGUGGGUGGGGAUGGAGGCGGGAGCAAAGGUGGAAGUAAACACCGCACUGCCACUCAUUUUCAGAACCUACAAUCCGCCUUAUUAUGCUGAUUAUCCAGAGGAAAAAUAUUGAGAUCCAGAUUAGCCAAAGUCAUGGAUUCAAGGUCAGUCUUGAAACUGAGCAGUGAAGAAAUCACAUCCCUUGUCCAAGGUUACAGAGCUG